rnacentral:rRNA from 1 species
GUGCACCAGGCGAGAAAACUUUACAAUGCGGGAAACCGUGAUAAGGGAACCUCGAGUGCUGAUGCCCAGCAUUGGCUGUCCACAUGCCUAAAAAGCAUGUGUUAGCAAGGGCCGGGCAAGACCGGUGCCAGCCGCCGCGGUAACACCGGCGGCUCGAGUGGUAGCCACUUUUAUUGGGUCUAAAGCGUCCGUAGCCGGCUUGGUAAGUCUUCUGGGAAAUCUGGCGGCUCAACCGUCAGGCGUCCAGGAGAUACUGUCAGGCUUGGGACCGGGAGAGGUGAGAGGUACCUCAGGGGUAGGGGUGAAAUCUUGUGAUCCUUGAGGGACCACCAGUGGCGAAGGCGUCUCACUAGAACGGCUCCGACGGUCAGGGACGAAAGCUAGGGGCACGAACCGGAUUAGAUACCCGCGUAGUCCCUGA